GUUGCAGUUAAAAAGCUCGUAGUUGAACUUCUGUCCAGGUUCGUCUCGGCUCGCCGAGGCAACUCUGGACAUACGUCUGCAAGCUAAAAUCGGCCUUUACUGGUGCGACUUAGUAAGUAGACAUUUUACUGUGAAAAAAUUAGAGUGUUUCAGGCAGGUUUUAGCCCGUAUACAUUAGCAUGGAAUAAUGGAAUAGGACUAGGUCCAUUUUAUUGGUUCUUGGAUUUAGUAAUGAUUAAUAGGGACAGUUGGGGGCAUUAGUAUUUAAUAGUCAGAGGUGAAAUUCUUGGAUUUAUUAAGGACUAACUAAUGCGAAAGCAUUUGCCAAAGAUGUUUUCAUUAAUCAAGAACGAAAGUUAGGGGAUCAAAGACGAUCAGAUACCGUCGUAGUCUUAACUAUAAACUAUACCGACUCGGGAUCGGCUGGAAUAUAUGUCCAGUCGGCACCGUAUGAGAAAUCAAAGUCUUUGGGUUCUGGGGGAAGUAUGGUACGCAAGUCUGAAACUUAAAGGAAUUGACGGAACAGCACACCAGAAGUGGAACCUGCGGCUUAAUUUGACUCAACACGGGGAAACUCACGAGCGCAAGACAGAGAAGGGAUUGACAGAUUGAGAGCUCUUUCUUGAUUCUUUGGGUGGUGGUGCAUGGCCGUUCUUAGUUGGUGGAGUGAUUUGUCUGGUUAAUUCCGUUAACGAACGAGACCUUAACCUGCUAACUAGUCGCGUUUUGAACAAAGACGUGUACUUCUUAGAGGGACUAUUGUGCAAGAAGCCAAUGGAAGUUUAAGGCAAUAACAGGUCUGUGAUGCCCCUAGACGUGCUCGGCCGCACGCGCGUUACAAUGACUGGCGCAGAAAGCAUUUCCUGACCUGGGAAGGUUCGGGUAAUCUUAUUAAUACCAGUCGUGUUAGGGAUAGUUCUUUGGAAUUUUGGAUCUUGAACGAGGAAUUUCUAGUAAGUGCAAGUCAUCAGCUUGCGUUGAUUAUGUCCCUGCCGUUUGUACACACCGCCCGUCGCUUGUAGUAACGAAUGGUCUGGUGAACCUUCUGGACUGCUCAGCAAUGAGCGGAAAAAUAAGUAAACCCUACCAUUUGGAACAACAAGAAGUCGUAACAAGGUAUCUGUAGGUGAACCUGCAGAUG
rnacentral:rRNA from 1 species